CACAACGGCCUUGAAAAAGUCUUCCUGUCCAUUCAACAGGUGAAGGAUGCCCGGAGGCGGAUGUCGAUAUACAGAUCAGCGGCCCCACAAUGGAGGACAUCUUUCUGAACAAAAAAGGCACGGUGAUAUGUCAGGUCAAAGUUAGCAGGCUAUCUGUGCAGAGUAUUUUGUGGGAGGACCAGGAUGGCAACGAGAUGGCCGGGACCUUGAAAGCCCCCCCGCCGGGCAAUUCGGGCCCAUUUGAGACUCGUCUUGACAUCACGUAUGACGAAUGGAGCAAAGGCAAAGGGCGCAACUGCGUGGUGAAGCAUUCAAAGAUUGCGCACCCAGUAAAGAAAGCCUAUAAAAGAACUGCUGAUAAAUCACCUCAAAAUCCUGCGGUGUUUAUGAUGCCUCCAGUGGAACAAACUGUUAAAAACAUGGUUACCCUGACUUGCUUAGUGAAAGACUUCUUCCCCCAAGAGGUUCUGGUGUCUUGGCUUGUCGAUGACAACCCCGUAAACUCCACAUACGUCACCAGGACCACCCAACCUGUAGAAAACCAAGGCGUGUAUUCAGUCUACGGCCAGUUAACGCUCAGCCUUGAUCAGUGGAAAAGGAACGGUGUGGCGUAUUGCUGUGCCAUUUACCACCAAUCUGUGGCCAACACACCCAAUGUCCUUGUCAGGUCCAUUUCAUACAGAACCACCGAUAACGUCAACAUGGACGACCCCAAAUUGUGCAAGGCCCUGUAGAUGUGUUCUGUGUCACUCUUGUCUUCUCUUCUUUGC